AGCUGGGUGCGGGAAGAGGAAGCGCGAGUGUGGGACGGGGAGCGGCUGUGGUGAGGGGAGGUGGGUGGGAAAUGGCGGCUGGGAGUGAGGGGCCGGGGCACUUGUCCACAGGGUGAGCUGGGAGCCGGGCAGCCCCUCUGAGGAGGCUGUGCGGGAGGAUGAGCGGGGAAAGCUGAAAUCAGCUUCGUCACCAGGGAAAAAAGCCAAAGUCUCCCAAGUUUCCCAACUUCGUAUUUUUGUAAUGCUCUUUGCAGGGAGUUGGGCUCGCUUUGUGUGCAGCGAAACUUUAUUCUUACUUCAUUUUCUUAACAAAUCUCUUAAUAUAUGAGGGGUUUUUUUUGUCUCUCCGUAGUACUUUUGUCAGCUGGUGGCUUUGAUAUGUGUUACUAUUCUGGGCAUUGCUGAGUAUGUUACUCACGAUCUCUCUUAAUGCAGCUUAAUUACCUGGCAUCAUUUUUAUUCAAGCACCUAUUUCUUCUUGCAAAGAGCACUGCAAGUUAAAACAAAACCAGAUUUUGAAAUUCAGGCUUUUCAAUAAACUCUCCUGAAACUUGUUAGCACUUUAUACUCAAUUUUCCUCUGUAAAAAUCUUGCAUAUUGUUUUUCAGUUUCAGGUAAUUCUUCCUCAACCUGCUCCUGUCAAAAUUUGAGGUAUCUAAAUGCCCUAGAACCAAUGAAAAUGUGCACAGAUGUAAGAGUUUACUUUUUAAAAACAGGCAUAGAAACUCAUACUAGCCAGGGACCCUUGUCAGUAUCUGGUACUAACAAAAGUAGCUUUGCUAGGAGCAGUUCACUAAUGUUUCAGAGACUUUCUGCUUCAUUGUGUAACCUGAAAAACUACAAUUAAUUCUCUGUAGGUAAGCUGUAUAGCAGUCCACAUAUAAUGAUAUAUUUUAAAAGCAUCACAUUCAAUUCCAAGUAGCCAUCAGCCUGUAUAUGUUUUGAAAAUUUGUUUUCCUUAACGCAAACAAGACCUUUAAAACUGGUGUUGGUGAUCCUGGCAGAGGUGCUGUGAUUUGUCUGGUUUUGUACUAUUCCAAGAACAAUCGGUCACAACAGUUGCAUUUUUUUUUCAAAGAAGUUUCUGAAUUCAAGCUUUUUCCUGUUAUGUACAUGAGGAUUCUGGACAGAAUCGUGAACAAGUAUAGGAGUGAUUUUUACAUCAAUGAGCACUGAAAUGAUGUUUCUUUCCAUUAGUUGCUGAAUCACUGGUGCUACUAGGACACAGGGACAAUCACAAUGAUUUCAUACAGUUUAAUGUUACUUUUUUUUUUUCCUGUAGGUCUUCUUGAUCAGCCUAGCCCUUGCGGUCUGUGGAAUGGAAGCUAUGGUUGUAAUGCACAGUAAUUUACAAAAAUAUCUUCUGUGCUGCAAGGUCUGCCUCUUGCCAGAUGUUCCUUGACUGUGAAGAACUCUACUUUGGCUUCUUAUGCCUGUUCUUGCAAAUGCAUUCUUAAAGAUGUUCGGUGGAAAAUAUUCCACUGCACAUUGAAAACUCAUGGUCUUCUCUCUAUUUCUGGCAGGCCUUAGCAGUGUGCCCCAGCCCACAUCACCUGUGCCACAUCCUGGUGCACAGCAUGGAAAGACUUGAAGACACACCGUUCCUCUGGAAAGCGACUGAAGUGUGUGGGAAGGGAGGGAGCCCUGGUGUGCUCCAAGAGGACCUCUGCAUUGGACGAUGGGGGACUACGUGAUUAAGUAUAAGCAGCAUACCUAACUUGUAGUGUAUGUACAGCCACAGAUGUCCUUUUCUGUACCUUUCGUAUCCUACAACACACUUUCUGAAGUUUGGUGGCCGGUAUUACAGCUGUGGGCAUGAUAUGAACCCGGGUAGCAUAAAUCUAAAGAUGAUUUCUUCUUGGUUCCUUCCCUAACAAUUCCCAACAUCUGAUUUGUCAUUUUUAUUACUACUGAGUACUGAACUGAUGUUUUCAGGAAAUUAUUCAUAAAUGACUCCCAAGAUGACUCCCCUGAGUGAUAAUCACUAAUUUAGAGCCCAUCAUUGUAUAUAUAUAAUUGAGGUUGUAUUUCCCCCAUAUGUGUUACUGCAUACUGCAUACUGACAUUGCCAUUUUAUCGCCAGUUUAGUAUAGUGAGAGCCUGGAAAACACACAGCUGCAGCUCUUCCCAGUUGGCUUUUAGAUUUGACUUUUAACGAUAAUUCAGCAAACACUAGUACCUCACUGCUCACCCCCUUUCUCAGAAUAUUUAUAAAUUCAUCAAAUUGCA